rnacentral:rRNA from 1 species
AGCGAACGCUGGCGGCAGGCCUAACACAUGCAAGUCGAACGGACCCUUCGGGGUUAGUGGCGGACGGGUGAGUAACACGUGGGAACGUGCCCUUUGGUUCGGAAUAGCUCCUGGAAACGGGUGGUAAUGCCGAAUGUGCCCUUCGGGGGAAAGAUUUAUCGCCUUUAGAGCGGCCCGCGUCUGAUUAGCUAGUUGGUGAGGUAAUGGCUCACCAAGGCGACGAUCAGUAGCUGGUCUGAGAGGAUGACCAGCCACAUUGGGACUGAGACACGGCCCAAACUCCUACGGGAGGCAGCAGUGGGGAAUCUUGCGCAAUGGGCGAAAGCCUGACGCAGCCAUGCCGCGUGGAUGAUGAAGGUCUUAGGAUUGUAAAAUCCUUCCACCGGUGAAGAUAAUGACUGUAGCCGGAGAAGAAGCCCCGGCUAACUUCGUGCCAGCAGCCGCGGUAAUAC